GUUCCGGAUUGUGGGCGUCCUGUCGUUCCUGAGAAAGAGAAUAAAAAAGAAGCCAUUCAGCACUUGCUGCGGCAAAUGGCUGUGGGGGGAAAUGUCUUGGUAUUACCCACUAAAAAAGAAAACUAAGAUAUUGGCAAAGAAAAUUGGAGCUUCACAUAUUACUAUCGUGAAAAUGGAAUGGCUUAGCCUCUGAGGAAAACAACUUGGCAAUUCCUCAAGCAACAUACAUAGAAGGACUCUAUGACCCAUCUGUUCCACUCAGAGAUGCUAGGUGGGGAAAUGAAAGGGAUCGCAGGUUACUCUGAACCCUGCUCUCAGCAGCUGAGAAUUCCCAGAUGUCCCCUCUACUGUGGUCCUCACCCCGAGGCUGAAGAUCUCAGGCCUCCUCCCAGCCAGAGAGAAGACACACAUGAAACUGACACAUUGCACCAGUCCUGACAGAGUAAAGCAGCUCAUCCUCUCAGGUAGCUGUUUCCAGGCGCUGCUCAGCUCUUACCCCCCACACACGUAAUGCCAUGUGGUGGCUUCGAUCCUCUGCCUACACCCCAUGACCCUGCAUUUUCCUGUUCCUAUUUGUUGUGUCCGUGUCUAGAGGUCCCCCAAAGCUUCAUGUGGUCGUGGUAGGCUGGAUCCAGAGUGUGUGGCACUCAAAUCGAUUCAUGGCGUGAUGUUAGGCUCAAGGGCACUGGGAUUAAGGGUGUGAGUGCUGCCUGCCCUAAGUAGCCUG